ACUAUUUUUUAUUACUAUUAGAGCAUCAUCAACAGAAACUAAGAAAGCCAUUUGGGGUGGGGUAGGACAUGUUCACCUUCAUUUUAAAGGUUCAUGGCAUCACUGAAAUGGAAUAGCAGAUCCUCAGGUGAUCCGCAGCAAAAUAUAACUGAAACAGCCGAAGCAGACCGGCAAGCUGACCCACUUGCUGCGCCCCCUUCAGUCACGACUGAUCCUUAGAUUUCACGUAAUGAAGUCCCUGGAAUGUGGGAGGUGUGGAAAAUACACACACCGGCUGGGUGGUUAUCUGGAGUAGAAGAGAGACAGCUGCAAAGCGGUGGAGCAGGAGAAGCAAGUAAAACAGACGCAGAAGGACCGCCCUUCCCUGAAUGCAGCACCCCUGAAAGACAGCGCCAGACGAGUCAACGUGUCCAUGGGCUGAGAGAAGAGCCAACCGGAACACCCACAAACACAUCUACCCCGAAUACGUGUUUGAUCUUCAGUAUAAAGAUCAAUGAAAUAUGUUUGGGGCACCUUCAGAACUUUUUUAAGAAUUACAAUUUUGGCGUUUUAGAGACAAGGGAAAGAGAAAAGCAGUGAACUUCACCAUCAUCUGACGAAGUGGCCAAAGAGCUGCCCCUAAGAGAAGGUGGAGAAGCCCAUCUUGUAUGUCCCAGUUGUGAACAUUCUUCUGCAGAAAUAAUCACACCAAAGAACACGAGUGGACAAGCUUUUUCUGUACAGAUUUUACACUUGAAGGCCACAUGUUUGUGUUGCAACUGUUGAACUCUGCCGUUGUGCAAAAGCAGCCACAGACAACAGUUACCCAAAUCAGCAUGGCUAUGUUCCAAUAAAACGGUACUUACAAAAAUAGCUGGUGGGCCA
rnacentral:lncRNA from 12 species